GACGAACGCUGGCGGCGUGCUUAACACAUGCAAGUCGAACGGAAAGGCCCUGCUUUUGUGGGGUGCUCGAGUGGCGAACGGGUGAGUAACACGUGAGUAACCUGCCCUUGUCUUUGGGAUAACUUCAGGAAACUGGGGCUAAUACCGGAUAGGAGCUCCUGCUGCAUGGUGGGGGUUGGAAAGUUUCGGCGGUUGGGGAUGGACUCGCGGCUUAUCAGCUUGUUGGUGGGGUAGUGGCUUACCAAGGUUUUGACGGGUAGCCGGCCUGAGAGGGUGACCGGCCACAUUGGGACUGAGAGACGGCCCAGAAGCCUACGGGAGGCAGCAGUGGGGAAUAUGGCACAAUGGGCGGAAGCCUGAUGCAGCAACGCCGCGUGCGGGAUGACGGCCUUCGGGUUGUAAACCGCUUUCGCCUGUGACGAAGCGGGAGUGACGGUAAUGGGUAAAGAAGCACCGGCUAACUACGUG
rnacentral:rRNA from 1 species